AAAUUGAAGAGUUUGAUCAUGGCUCAGAUUGAACGCUGGCGGCAGGCCUAACACAUGCAAGUCGAACGGUAACAGGAAGCAGCUUGCUGCUUUGCUGACGAGUGGCGGACGGGUGAGUAAUGUCUGGGAAACUGCCUGAUGGAGGGGGAUAACUACUGGAAACGGUGGCUAAUACCGCAUAACGUCGCAAGACCAAAGAGGGGGACCUUCGGGCCUCUUGCCAUCAGAUGUGCCCAGAUGGGAUUAGCUAGUUGGUGAGGUAACGGCUCACCAAGGCGACGAUCCCUAGCUGGUCUGAGAGGAUGACCAGCCACACUGGAACUGAGACACGGUCCAGACUCCUACGGGAGGCAGCAGUGGGGAAUAUUGCACAAUGGGCGCAAGCCUGAUGCAGCCAUGCCGCGUGUAUGAAGAAGGCCUUCGGGUUGUAAAGUACUUUCAGCGGGGAGGAAGGUGUUGUGGUUAAUAACCGCAGCAAUUGACGUUACCCGCAGAAGAAGCACCGGCUAACUCCGUGCCAGCAGCCGCGGUAAUACGGAGGGUGCAAGCGUUAAUCGGAAUUACUGGGCGUAAAGCGCACGCAGGCGGUCUGUCAAGUCGGAUGUGAAAUCCCCGGGCUCAACCUGGGAACUGCAUUCGAAACUGGCAGGCUUGAGUCUUGUAGAGGGGGGUAGAAUUCCAGGUGUAGCGGUGAAAUGCGUAGAGAUCUGGAGGAAUACCGGUGGCGAAGGCGGCCCCCUGGACAAAGACUGACGCUCAGGUGCGAAAGCGUGGGGAGCAAACAGGAUUAGAUACCCUGGUAGUCCACGCCGUAAACGAUGUCUACUUGGAGGUUGUGCCCUUGAGGCGUGGCUUCCGGAGCUAACGCGUUAAGUAGACCGCCUGGGGAGUACGGCCGCAAGGUUAAAACUCAAAUGAAUUGACGGGGGCCCGCACAAGCGGUGGAGCAUGUGGUUUAAUUCGAUGCAACGCGAAGAACCUUACCUGGUCUUGACAUCCACAGAACUUUCCAGAGAUGGAUUUGUGCCUUCGGGAACUGUGAGACAGGUGCUGCAUGGCUGUCGUCAGCUCGUGUUGUGAAAUGUUGGGUUAAGUCCCGCAACGAGCGCAACCCUUAUCCUUUGUUGCCAGCGAUUAGGUCGGGAACUCAAAGGAGACUGCCAGUGAUAAACUGGAGGAAGGUGGGGAUGACGUCAAGUCAUCAUGGCCCUUACGACCAGGGCUACACACGUGCUACAAUGGCGCAUACAAAGAGAAGCGACCUCGCGAGAGCAAGCGGACCUCAUAAAGUGCGUCGUAGUCCGGAUUGGAGUCUGCAACUCGACUCCAUGAAGUCGGAAUCGCUAGUAAUCGUGGAUCAGAAUGCCACGGUGAAUACGUUCCCGGGCCUUGUACACACCGCCCGUCACACCAUGGGAGUGGGUUGCAAAAGAAGUAGGUAGCUUAACCUUCGGGAGGGCGCUUACCACUUUGUGAUUCAUGACUGGGGUGAAGUCGUAACAAGGUAACCGUAGGGGAACCUGCGGUUGGAUCACCUCCUUACCUUAAAGAA
rnacentral:rRNA from 1 species